rnacentral:rRNA from 1 species
CAUACGGGAGGCAGCAGUGGGGAAUAUUGGACAAUGGGGGGAACCCUGAUCCAGCCAUGCCGCGUGUGUGAAGAAGGCCCUCGGGUUGUAAAGCACUUUCAGCGAGGAAGAACGCCUAACGGUUAAUACCCGCUAGGAAAGACAUCACUCGCAGAAGAAGCACCGGCUAACUCCGUGCCAGCAGCCGCGGUAAUACGGAGGGUGCAAGCGUUAAUCGGAAUUACUGGGCGUAAAGCGCGCGUAGGUGGCUUGAUAAGCCGGUUGUGAAAGCCCCGGGCUCAACCUGGGAACGGCAUCCGGAACUGUCAAGCUAGAGUGCAGGAGAGGAAGGUAGAAUUCCCGGUGUAGCGGUGAAAUGCGUAGAGAUCGGGAGGAAUACCAGUGGCGAAGGCGGCCUUCUGGACUGACACUGACACUGAGGUGCGAAAGCGUGGGUAGCAAACAGGAUUAGAUACCCUGGUAGUCCACGCCGUAAACGAUGUCGACCAGCCGUUGGGUGCCUAGCGCACUUUGUGGCGAAGUUAACGCGAUAAGUCGACCGCCUGGGGAGUACGGCCGCAAGGUUAAAACUCAAAUGAAUUGACGGA